UAAAGAAAGCGUAACAGCUCACUGAUAUAUUGUUAGAUAGCUUCAAAAAUUUAGAUGGACUAAAUGAUAUACCGAAUUCGGAUAAUAUUUUUAUUAAUUUAAAAAUAUUGGUAACGGAGCAUUCUGUAGGCCUGUAAAGAUAUAAUCGUGAGAUGUAUUGGAGGUAUCAGAAGAGAAAAUGUUGGUAUGAGUAACUAUAAAAUGUGUGAGAUUCACAUUCGCUGAAAACCCAAGGUUUCCUAUCAUAGGAUUAUCCGGGUAGGGUUAGUCGGUACCUAAGGAAAAUGCGAAAGCAAUAUCCGAUGGACAAAAAGGUUAAUAUUCCUUUACCAAAUGUUAAAUGACGCGCUUAAAAUUAAGUAAUAAUUAUGACUAUUUAUUGCAAGAUAAUGAGCGACUAGAAAUAAUUAACAUAAUUAGGCCGUACUAAAACCGACACAGGUGGGUAGGUAGAGAAUACCAAAGCGUUAAGUGAACGGUGCUAAAGGAACUCGGCAAAUUGCUUCUGUAACUUUUUGGAGAAGGAGGACUCGCAUUAGCGCAAGCUAUUGUGAGUGGCACAAAAUCAGGGGGGGCGACUGUUUAUUAAAAACAUAGGACUCUGCAAAAUCGAAAGAUGAUGUAUAGGGUCUGAGACCUGUCCAGUGCUCUAAAGUGAAAUUUUGUGGUGCAUAGCUACAAUUAUAAGCUAGAGUAAACGACGGCAGUAACUAUAACUGUCCUAAGGUAGCGAAGUUCCUUGUCACGUAAGUUGUGACCCGCAUGAAAGGUUUAACGACUCCCUCGCUGUCUCUAGCACCGACUUAGUGAAAUUUAAUUUCCCGUGCAAAUGCGGGAUACUUAUAGCUAGACGGAAAGUCCCCGGCACCUUUACUACAACUUUAUAUUGAUGUAGGGUUAUAUGUACGUAGAAUAAAGAGGAGGCUUUGAAGUGGUGUUUUCGGACAUCAUGGAGCCAACAAUGAAAUACUUUUUACAUAUAACUAUACAUCUAACUCUGUAUUAAUUAAAUAAUAAGAGGACAUUGUAUGGAUGGUAGUUUCGCUGGGGCGGCGAUCUUUUUUUUAUUGAGUAAUUUGAUAAAACGUUAAGCUAAUGCACAUAUUUCCGUGGGGAUAAUAUACUAGUGAUAGUAUAUGAUUAAGCCGCCACAGAGAAUAAAACUAACAAUAUUAUUUAGCUAUAUGCUGGAAUCGGUUAUAAAUGGUCUUAUUCGUAAGUCGAGUAACUGUAAUCAGCAGGGAAGUAGUAUAUAAAAAUACUAUCCCUCAGAGACCAAACGCUAAAAUAGUUGCUUAUGCAACUAUAUGAUAUGGUCCAUAAUUGCCUAAAGAGUAACGGAGAUGUGCAUAAGGUGAGUUCAGUCUGUGUAGAAAGCAGACGUCGAGCGCAAUAGUAUAUACUUGCCUAACUGAGAGAAAAACACUUCGAACAGGUACGAAAGUAGGUUAUAGUGAUCCUGUGGUUCUAUAUGGUAGGGCCAUGGCUUAACGGA
rnacentral:rRNA from 1 species